AGAUUGAACGCUGGCGGCAGGCCUAACACAUGCAAGUCGAGCGGCAGCACGGGUACUUGUACCUGGUGGCGAGCGGCGGACGGGUGAGUAAUGCCUAGGAAUCUGCCUGAUAGUGGGGGAUAACGUUCGGAAACGGACGCUAAUACCGCAUACGUCCUACGGGAGAAAGUGGGGGAUCUUCGGACCUCACGCUAUCAGAUGAGCCUAGGUCGGAUUAGCUAGUUGGUAGGUAAAGGCCUACCAAGGCUACGAUCCGUAACUGGUCUGAGAGGAUGAUCAGUCACACUGGAACUGAGACACGGUCCAGACUCUUACGGGAGGCAGCAGUGGGGAAUAUUGGACAAUGGGACGAAAGCCUGAUCCAGGCCAUGCCGCGUGUGUGAAGUAAGGUCUUCGGAUUGUAAAGCAACUUUAAGUUGGAGGAAGGCAAUUAACCUAAUACGUUAGUGUUUGACGUUACCGAUAGAAUAAGCACCGGCUAACUCGUGUGACCUAGCAGCCGUACGG
rnacentral:rRNA from 1 species